AACUAUAACGGUCCUAAGGUAGCGAAAUUCCUUGUCAGGUAAGUUCUGACCCGCACGAAAGGCGUAACGAUUUGGGCGCUGUCUCAGCUGUAGACUCGGUGAAGUCUUAGUACCUGUGAAGAUGCAGGUUACCCGCGACUAGACGGAAAGACCCCAUGGAGCUUCACUGCAGGUUGAUAUUGGGAUUUGAUGCAGCAUGUACAGGAUAGGUAGGAGGCAAAGAGAUGGAUACGCCAGUAUUCAAGGAGCCGCUGUUGGGAUACUACCCCUGUUGUAUUGGAUUUCUAACCGGACGACGUAGAGCCGUUGACGGGACAGUGUCAGUCGGGCAGUUUGACUGGGGCGGUCGCCUCCCAAAGAGUAACGGAGGCGCCCAAAGAUACCCUCAGCUUGGAUGGAAACCAAGCGCAGAGUGCAAAGGCAAAAGGGUGUUUGACUGCGAGACCUACAAGUCGAGCAGGGACGAAAGUCGGGCUUAGUGAUCCGGCGGUGCUGAAUGGAAAGGCCGUCGCUCAACGGAUAAAAGCUACCCUGGGGAUAACAGGCUGAUCUCCCCCAAGAGUCCACAUCGACGGGGAGGUUUGGCACCUCGAUGUCGGCUCAUCGCAUCCUGGGGCUGUAUUCGGUCCCAAGGGUUUGGCUGUUCGCCAAUUAAAGCGGUACGCGAGCUGGGUUCAGAACGUCGUGAGACAGUUCGGUCCCUAUCUGUCGUGGGCGCAGGAAAUUUGAGAAGAGCUGUCCUCAGUACGAGAGGACCGGGAUGGACGCAUCAAUGGUGGACCAGUUGUCACGCCAGUGGCAUAGCUGGGUAGCUAAAUGCGGAAGGGAUAAACGCUGAAGGCAUCUAAGUGUGAAACCCACUUCAAGAUGAGAUUUCCCAUUGCGCAAGCAAGUAAGACCCCUUAAAGACGAUAAGGUAGAUAGGUCAGGAGUGUAAGCAUGGUGACAUGUUAAGCGGACUGAUACUAAUAGGUCGAGGGCUUGACCGA
rnacentral:rRNA from 1 species